CCACCUGAACAGGCAGACAGGACCUCGGAUUAACAUCUCACCCAAAGGUCGGCAGCUCUGACGUGGCAUCGGAGGGUCAGCUUAGACUAUAUAUGGAUUCCGAGUCCUGGCGUGGGGGGGGGGGCUUGAACCCAACAACCUGCUGACUCAGUGGCAAGAGAGAGACAGCGCGAAUCACCGAUAAAUGACACAUUGGACCCGCUUCAAGAGUUGCUUGCAGCUGGCAAACACGGCACAUUUCUUUUGCCAGAGCCUGUGACCUGACUCUUUCUCUGUAAUACGGGGGCGCAGGUUGCGGUUUAAGCCGCGUAGGUACCUUAGCAUUCCGUAUCCUCCCCAAUUGGAGCCACGCACCUGACUCAUAGAUAAUCCGGGGACGAGGUGUGAAUGGCAGAUCGACCAAGCCUUGCCUGCAGCUUCGUCUGAUCUGUUUCUUGAAACAAACCGGAGAGAGAGAGAGAGAGAGAGAGAGAGAAAAAAAAACACCUUAAGAUUGCCCGCAAGUGCCUUGGCAUCGGGCAGAGAUCCCUCGAACCUCUUCCUUCUCCUCCCUAACCACCGCGACCCCGGAAUGGAAGUUUUGAACCCCAUUUUCUCUCCUGCUGUCUUUUGGGGAUCUGCUCGACGAAGGCUGCCAGUGAAAUGAUCGAGCACCCAGUUCUUCCCUUGAGAUUACAGCGGGACACAGGCAAUCUUCACCAGCUACUCCUCGCAGUAGCCAAGCACUCUUUGAGUGCAGCGUUGAGUAGUGGGCGUGCACUGUUCCUCGUGUCUACUCUUCCCCCCCCCACCCACAUCUCGGAGCAGUGUGCACUCUUUAUUGGAUCAUAUAGGAUCAUGUAUGAAUGUUUUAUCGAUAUCAAGGGAUACGGGUCGAAGGCAGUUAAUUGGAGUUGAGGUACAGA